AAUUUGAGUAAUAACAUGAUGAUAAGUGAACUGUGAACAACAAUUACAAUUCAAAUACAGUAGUUGAUGGGUGUGCGGCAUACAUGACCGACACAACUCGGCAGUCGGCACCAAAUCACCCCCCCCCCCCUACCAGAUCAUGCUGGAUCCAUCCCUGAUCUACAUCUCUUUUAAUUCCUAGAUAUUCAUUUCCAAGUCUUACGAUGCCACAACCCAUUUUGAAACAACCUGUACAGACAUCAUAUCACUGUACGAAAGAAUCACAGGACAGAAAUUUGACUUGAAUUCUGUGAAACGAGAGGUCAAAGACGAGGACUGAUGAGAAUUUUUGAAUCGUUAAUUUUUGGUUAGUGCAGUUAGCAAGAGUUUGCAUGAGAGUUGAUGAGAGUUGAGAAGCGAGUUUACAUGAGAGUUGAUGAGAGUUGAGAAGCGAGAGUUUACAUGAGAGUUGAUGAGAGUUGAGAAGCGAGAGUUUACAUGAGAGUUGAUGAGAGUUGAGAAGCGAGAGUUUACAUGAGAGUUGAUGAGAGUUGAGAAGCGUUAUUUUACAUGAGAGUUGAUGAGAGUUGAGAAGCGAGAGUUUACAUGACAGCUGUUGUACGAUAGUGCUUAGUGAAAUCUUGAAUAUUUAAUGUCAGAAAGUUGAAAUAUAUAACACAUUCUGUACAAUGGAAUGUGUUCUAUUUAUAAAGAGUAGCAUAGUAUAAAAAUAUAAAUUAUAGAGUCAUUUUAAAAGGAGACAGUCGUUUGACAACUGCUUCUACAAUAUAAAUGCAAUUACAUUAAAAUAAUAAUAAUAAGCAAGUG